UACGUAGGUGUCCAGCGUUGUCCGGAUUUACUGGGCGUAAAGAGCGCGCAGGCGGUCGUUCAAGUCGAGUGUGAAAGCCCCCGGCUCAACUGGGGAGGGGCACUCGAUACUGAUCGACUUGAAGGCAGGAGAGGGAAGCGGAAUUCCCGGUGUAGUGGUGAAAUGCGUAGAUAUCGGGAGGAACACCGGUGGCGAAGGCGGUUCUCUGGGCAUUACCUGACGCUGAGGAGCGAAAGUGUGGGGAGCGAACAGG
rnacentral:rRNA from 1 species